rnacentral:rRNA from 1 species
AAAUAACAAUACAGGGCCUAACGGUCUUGUAAUUGGAAUGAGUGAAGUAUAAGCCCCUUUACGAGUAUCAAUUGGAGGGCAAGUCUGGUGCCAGCAGCCGCGGUAAUUCCAGCUCCAAUAGCGUAUAUUAAAGUUGUUGCAGUUAAAAAGCUCGUAGUUGGAUUUCUGUUGUAUAAUUUUAUAAUAUUACCAAGGUAAUUAUUAUAUUAUCAACAUCCUUCCUAUUAUAUUCUAAAUAUAUAGGAAACUUUACUUUG